AAAGCAGAGAGAUGUGAGGAACUCUUCGGCAACCACUACAAGAAACGGGUUGUUUAACGGUAGAAACUUAAAAGCGGAAGGAACAGUCAAUGUUAAAUUUCAUGCACUAGGCCAAUUUAACAGCGGCUAGCACCUAUCGCUGUUAAAUUAAUACAGUUAACCAACCACCAAGAUUGUUCUCUCACUCGUUUUCUUAUCCAUGACCUCGUGUUAGUGCGUUCUUUCAAUACGAACAUGAACCAUAU
rnacentral:lncRNA from 1 species